GAUAUCUAUAUAAUAAUUUUUCUUCUCCUAUAGUUCUUUCUGUUUUUCGUUGAAUUAUAAUUCUAUUCUAAAAACUUUAAUAUAUUUGUAUUACAACAACAAUGGUGUAUAGCGAUACUUUUAAAUAUCGGUAUAGGUCAAGAAAAGUGCUACUGGCUAAAUUACCGACACUUUUAAAAAGUGUUACUAUAUGUAGGGCCACUAGGUAUAUAGUGACAUUUUAAGAGUAUCGAUAUGACCUAAAAAGAAUGCUGCUAAUUUACCAAUAUUUAUUUAAGCAAUUAAUAACCGCUGGAACCCUACCUCGUCGGCUGCGGCGACGGAGGAGGAAAGCGAAGGGCUCAUUGUCUAGGGUUUCAUUGGAUUGAGUGAAUGGAAAAUUAAGGAGAGAUGGUGAUCAAAUUAUUUUUUUUUUUCUUUUCUGUUUAUAAUCGGACCGAAUGAGCUCGAUUGGGUGGGUUGAGGAGAGUAACAUUUUAUUUUUUGUUGGAUUAGGCUUUAUAUUUAGACCUUAAGAUUUUUUUAAAAAUUUUGGUAUAAAUGACACACUUACACAAAAGUGUCCCAAAUAUGUGUCGCUAUAAUCUAAUUUUAUUGUAAUAUUUUUAUAUUAUUAAAUUUAAUCAAAUAUAAUUAUAUCCUUCUUUUUUUUCACUUCCCAUAUUUAUUUAUUUUUAUUAAAAAUUUUUAUCCGUCAUU
rnacentral:lncRNA from 1 species